rnacentral:rRNA from 1 species
CCUACGGGAGGCAGCAGUGGGGCAUAUUGGGCAAUGGGCGCAAGCCUGACCCAGCAAUGCCGCGUGAAGGAAGAAGGCUUUCGGGUCGUAAACUUCUUUGACAGGGGAAGAGCAGAAGACGGUACCCUGCAAACAAGCCACGUCUAACUACGCGCCAGCAGGCGCGGUAAUACGUAGGUGGCAAGCGUUGUCCGGAUUGACUGGGUGUCAAGGGCGGGUAGCCGGGAAGGCAAGUCAGAUGUGAAAUCCGGAGGCUCAACCUCCGAAUUGCAUUUGAAACUGUUUGUCUUGAGUACAGGAGAGGCAGACGGAAUUCCUGGUGUAGCGGUGAAAUGCGUAGAUAUAAGGAGGAACACCAGUGGCGAAGGCGGUCUGCUGGACUGCAACUGACGGUGAGGCGCGAAAGCGUGGGGAGCAAACAGGAUUAGAUACCCUGGUAGUC